rnacentral:lncRNA from 1 species
UUUGGAAAAUACAUUAUUGUUUCCCAUUAGCUUACUUUCCAUCUGAAUCUGAGCACCUGACCUGAGGAAGGAGAGUGAACAUAGAAUGGCGAAUUUGUUCUAGGACAGUGAGUGAUCUGAGAGUGUUGGGAAGAGGGAGCCAUGCUGCGUAGACCAGAAAGCAGGGCAAUGGAGGAAUGGAUACAAGCUCAUCUUAAGAGCAAGGUCUUGCCCACCUCCCUAUCCUUGGAAGGUAUUUCAGUGAGGAUGCAUUUGACUUCAUGUAGGAGGAAAUCCAACCAACACUGGUUAAACCAUAUGAAAUGUAUUACUGACUUUAGGAGUACAGAGGAUGGGUGGUCCCAGGUUCAUUAAGUGGUCCAACAACAUCAGGAUUCCAGGUCAGUAUCUUUCCUUUUCUUCAGCAGUUGCAAGAGGCUGUCUCAGCUUCUGGCAUCAUGUCAUUGCAUAAUAACAUCCCAGGUAACAUGGGAGAUAUAAGCAGAAGACAGCAGUUUUUUCCCCCACAAAUGCUUUAUUUGGAAGAAAACCUUUCCCAGAAGCCCUGAGCAGUGAGCCUGAUUUGGGUCCUUCACCUGGUGUUCAACGCAUAUAUUGCCUGCCUGCUGUGCAAGAACAAAACUCUCAGACAUCUCAGACUCAUUGAGAGCUUAGCAAGACAGCAGUUCCAGCUUUUAAUUUUUUUUUUUUCAACGUUUAUUUUUAUUUUUGGGACAGAGAGAGACAGAGCAUGAACGGGGGAGGGGCAGAGAGAGAGGGAGACACAGAAUCGGAAACAGGCUCCAGGCUCCGAGCCAUCAGCCCAGAGCCUGACGCGGGGCUCGAACUCACGGACCGCGAGAUCGUGACCUGGCUGAAGUCGGACGCUUAACCGACUGCGCCACCCAGGCGCCCCUGUUCUCAGUUUUUAAGAGUCUCUUAUGCUUUGGCUCUCUCCCACUCUAACCUCUUUUUUUUUGUCUUCCCGUCCCCCAUGGGUUUCUGUUAAGUUUCUCAGGAUCCACAUAAGAGUGAAAACAUAUGGUAUCUGUCUUUCUCUCUAUGGCUUAUUUCACUUAGCCUAACACUCUCCAGUUCCAUCCGUGUUGCUACAAAGGGCCAUAUUUCAUUCUUUCUCAUUGCCACGUAGUAUUCCAUUGUGUAUAUAAACCACAAUUUUUUUAUCCAUUCAUCAGUUGAUGGACAUUUAGGCUCUUUCCAUAAUUUGGUUAUUGCUGAGAGUGCUGCUAUAAACAUUGGGGUACAAGUGCCCCUAUGCAUCAGUACUCCUGUAUCCCUUGGGUAAAUUCCUAGCAGUGCUAUUGCUGGGUUAUAGGGUAGGUCUAUUUUGAAUGUUUUGAGGAACCUCCACACU